UGUUUUCUCUAUAUUUCUCGAUUUAUUAUAUAUAUCGCUAAUCCAUCACAUCUCCAGAAAAUCCUCCCACCUCUGACUAGGUUAAGCCGCUGGUUUUUCACAUCGGACCAGGCUCCCACAGCCAUGUUGUCCGUCCGAUUUGUUCUCGUUUUGUUUUUAGUUUCUAUCUAGGUUUUAUUUUUUCUUUAGCUUUUAUAGUUAGGAUUUCUCCAAAAUGCAGAUAUAGUUUCUGAAUCUCAAAUCUAGAGAAGGAGGCUGAGCAACAGUGUUAGUGCUAUGGGCUUCAGAGUGGUCGUGUCUUGGUAGCAGUAAGCUGUUGGGGUUCUCGCCUUGCUAGGGUCUAGCCUUCAGAUCCGUGGGUUGCUUAUGUUUCUCACUGGCUCCAAUCAAAGGUUCAUGUAAAUUUGAUGGCUGCACUACACAGUAAAGAACGAUCUCUUUCAGAUGUCGUCAAUCUGUGAAUGAGAAACAACUUAUUCCUAAAGAUAUGAAGACAUUAACAGUUGAGAGACCCUGCUCUGUUCCCACAUAACCAAAGUCAGUUUGACUCUGGUGUCAGCGAUUCUUCUAAUAGAAGCUCAACCCAUUGAUGGUGAUGAGGUGUACAAAUGCAUCACACCAGAUGUUCUUGACGUGGAGGUGCAAAGAGUUCCAGUUAUGGUAUAUGAAGAUAACUUUGGAGUCCCCUGAACUUAGCUACUCGAGCUUUUCUACUAUCUUAGUUGUGUUAUAGUUUUGAGAUGUUGUCUGAUCACCCUUUGGAUAUUUCUGGUUCUCACAUUUGAUGUAUUAAUGAACUCCUACCAUUAAGUUCAUUAAAGAUCUCUGUUUAUUAAUACAAGUACAUUGAAUAAUAUUCACAGAUAAGAUUAUUCUAAUAGGUA